rnacentral:rRNA from 1 species
UACGGAGGGUGCGAGCGUUGUCCGGAAUCAUUGGGCGUAAAGGGCGCGUAGGUGGCCCGGUCAGUCUUUGGUGAAAGCGCGGGGCUCAACCCUGCGUCGGCCAGGGAUACUGCCGCGGCUCGAGCACUGUAGAGGCAGGCGGAAUUCCGGGUGUAGCGGUGGAAUGCGUAGAGAUCCGGAAGAACACCGGUGGCGAAAGCGGUGCACUGGUGGAUUACUGACGCUGAGGUGCGAAAGCCAGGGGAGCAAACGGG